rnacentral:rRNA from 1 species
UAGGGAAUCUUCCGCAAUGGACGCAAGUCUGACGGAGCAACGCCGCGUGAGUGAAGAAGGAUUUCGGUUCGUAAAACUCUGUUGUUAGAGAAGAACAGCGCAUAGAGUAACUGUUAUGCGUGUGACGGUAUCUAACCAGAAAGCCACGGCUAACUACGUGCCAGCAGCCGCGGUAAUACGUAGGUGGCAAGCGGUGUCCGGAUUUAUUGGGCGUAAAGCGAGCGCAGGCGGUCAAUUAAGUCUGAUGUGAACGCCCCCGGCUCAACCGGGGAGGGUCUUUGGAAACUGGUUGACUUGAGUGCAGAAGAGGAGAGUGGAAUUCCAUGUGUAGCGGUGAAAUGCGUAGUUAUAUGGAGGAACACCAGUGGCGAAGGCGACUCUCUGGUCUGUAACUGACGCUGAGGCUCGAAAGCGUGGGUAGCAAACAGG